GACGAAGGGUCCUAGCGUUGUUCGGAAUUACUGGGCGUAAAGCGCAGGUAGGUGGCUUUUCAAGUCGGGUGUGAAAUCCCACGGCUUAACCGUGGAACUGCAUUCGAUACUGUUAAGCUUGAAUAUGGGAGGGGAUGGUAGAAUUCCUGGUGUAGUGGUGAAAUACGUAGAUAUCAGGAGGAACAUCUGUGGCGAAGGCGGCCAUCUGGCCCAAUAUUGACACUGAGCUGCGAAAGCAUGGGGAUCAAACAGG
rnacentral:rRNA from 1 species